CAGCCGUAAACUAUGCGCGUUAGGUGUAUCGGUGACCACGAGUUACCGAGGUGCCGAAGGGAAACCGUGAAACGUGCCGCCUGGGAAGUACGGUCGCAAGGCUGAAACUCAAAGGAAUUGGCGGGGGAGCACCACAACAGGUGGAGCCUGCGGUUUAAUUGGACUCAACGCCGGGAAGCUCACCGGAUAGGACAGCAGAAUGAUUGCCGGGCUGAAGACCCUGCAUGACUAGCUGAGAGGUGGUGCAUGGCGUCAGUGACU
rnacentral:rRNA from 1 species